GAGCAAGAGCAAGUGAAGAUGAGGUAAAGAAAACCAAAACAAUCUACUUGAAGGGAAUCGUCUCUUUUAUCUGUGCCACUCCAUGCUGUGACAAGGGCCUGGAUGGUGACACACAUCUGCUUCAAGCUGCCUGACUGAAUACUAGCCCUUCAGUGGGAACUGUCUGCUGCUAGCUGACAACAGGGUGGCAGGUUUUCUGGAUGUGCUGCUCCAGAGUUCCAUGGCCCAGCAGACUCACCUGGGAUAGGGGGAUGACAUGUUCGUUUUUAAUAAAAGUCUGGGAGACUUAGAGGGAGGAGAGCGCAUGAGUUUGAGUGAGUACAGUAAAUCCAAUCCAACCAAUGGCCCUGGAUAAUUAAGCAAUAAGGCCCGUGGGGUUGUGGUAUAUGGGGGAGGCUUGUUGUGCCGUCUGUCAGAAAAGUUGCAAAGACUCUCCAACCAAUUAAAAAUGUAAAACAGCAUUUUUUCCACUCCGCAUGAGUGGAGAAUUAGCUAUACAUGUAUAUUUUUAAAUAUACAUGACUUACUGACAUGGAGUGCUUCAUGUUCCUGCUGGUAGCAGGCCUCAACCUGUAUGCAGGGAAAUGUCCUGCCUUGGAGGAUUGUUGUAUUCAUCUCAACCAGGUGCCUGGAAAUCAUAUGACAAACCUGCAUAGAUUAACAAAGGAAAAUGGUAACUGUAUUUAGUCAAUUGAAGUCAUGAAAACCAUAGGUUCUUUACACAGGAGUGUAUAGGUUUUUGUUCCAGCACCUAACUAACACCUCAUUCAACUAAUUGUGGUCUAAAGUGAACAAAAACUUGCACAGUUUAGUCCCCUGGGACAGAAAUCACCCACAUCUGUAUUAUUGAAUGAGCUUCCCAAGUUACAAGCUUAGCUACAAUUCUGCAUGAUGGAGAAUAAUGUGUGGAUCUAUUUCGAUCAUGAUUUUACUUGCAAAUCUCUUCCUAACAAUGUACACAACUUUCUACAAUGUGACAACAGUGACAGAACUCAGAGAGCGCGCAGAUUCAAAAUCUUCAAGUGUAUUUUUAUUCACAACAGAAUAUUCAUAGUCGUAAAUGGAUGCUUUCAAAUAUGAUUGAAUGUAUUCAAAUGUAGAAUUACAAGUUUGCUACCGUUGUUAAACCUUUCACACAUCAUGAUACAAGCUUGCAAAAUUAAAUUGCACAUUUGCGAAUCGUAAUUGCAACCACGAAACCC